rnacentral:rRNA from 1 species
CGAAUACCGGAGAAUGUUAUCACGGGAGACACACGGCGGGUGCUAACGUCCGUCGUGAAGAGGGAAACAACCCAGACCGCCAGCUAAGGUCCCAAAGUCAUGGUUAAGUGGGAAACGAUGUGGGAAGGCCCAGACAGCCAGGAUGUUGGCUUAGAAGCAGCCAUCAUUUAAAGAAAGCGUAAUAGCUCACUGGUCGAGUCGGCCUGCGCGGAAGAUGUAACGGGGCUAAACCAUGCACCGAAGCUGCGGCAGCGACGCUUAUGCGUUGUUGGGUAGGGGAGCGUUCUGUAAGCCUGCGAAGGUGUGCUGUGAGGCAUGCUGGAGGUAUCAGAAGUGCGAAUGCUGACAUAAGUAACGAUAAAGCGGGUGAAAAGCCCGCUCGCCGGAAGACCAAGGGUUCCUGUCCAACGUUAAUCGGGGCAGGGUGAGUCGACCCCUAAGGCGAGGCCGAAAGGCGUAGUCGAUGGGAAACAGGUUAAUAUUCCUGUACUUGGUGUUACUGCGAAGGGGGGACGGAGAAGGCUAUGUUGGCCGGGCGACGGUUGUCCCGGUUUAAGCGUGUAGGCUGGUUUUCCAGGCAAAUCCGGAAAAUCAAGGCUGAGGCGUGAUGACGAGGCACUACGGUGCUGAAGCAACAAAUGCCCUGCUUCCAGGAAAAGCCUCUAAGCAUCAGGUAACAUCAAAUCGUACCCCAAACCGACACAGGUGGUCAGGUAGAGAAUACCAAGGCGCUUGAGAGAACUCGGGUGAAGGAACUAGGCAAAAUGGUGCCGUAACUUCGGGAGAAGGCACGCUGAUAUGUAGGUGAAGCGACUUGCUCGUGGAGCUGAAAUCAGUCGAAGAUACCAGCUGGCUGCAACUGUUUAUUAAAAACACAGCACUGUGCAAACACGAAAGUGGACGUAUACGGUGUGACGCCUGCCCGGUGCCGGAAGGUUAAUUGAUGGGGUUAGCGCAAGCGAAGCUCUUGAUCGAAGCCCCGGUAAACGGCGGCCGUAACUAUAACGGUCCUAAGGUAGCGAAAUUCCUUGUCGGGUAAGUUCCGACCUGCACGAAUGGCGUAAUGAUGGCCAGGCUGUCUCCACCCGAGACUCAGUGAAAUUGAACUCGCUGUGAAGAUGCAGUGUACCCGCGGCAAGACGGAAAGACCCCGUGAACCUUUACUAUAGCUUGACACUGAACAUUGAGCCUUGAUGUGUAGGAUAGGUGGGAGGCUUUGAAGUGUGGACGCCAGUCUGCAUGGAGCCGACCUUGAAAUACCACCCUUUAAUGUUUGAUGUUCUAACGUUGACCCGUGAUCCGGGUUGCGGACAGUGUCUGGUGGGUAGUUUGACUGGGGCGGUCUCCUCCUAAAGAGUAACGGAGGAGCACGAAGGUUGGCUAAUCCUGGUCGGACAUCAGGAGGUUAGUGCAAUGGCAUAAGCCAGCUUGACUGCGAGCGUGACGGCGCGAGCAGGUGCGAAAGCAGGUCAUAGUGAUCCGGUGGUUCUGAAUGGAAGGGCCAUCGCUCAACGGAUAAAAGGUACUCCGGGGAUAACAGGCUGAUACCGCCCAAGAGUUCAUAUCGACGGCGGUGUUUGGCACCUCGAUGUCGGCUCAUCACAUCCUGGGGCUGAAGUAGGUCCCAAGGGUAUGGCUGUUCGCCAUUUAAAGUGGUACGCGAGCUGGGUUUAGAACGUCGUGAGACAGUUCGGUCCCUAUCUGCCGUGGGCGCUGGAGAACUGAGGGGGGCUGCUCCUAGUACGAGAGGACCGGAGUGGACGCAUCACUGGUGUUCGGGUUGUCAUGCCAAUGGCACUGCCCGGUAGCUAAAUGCGGAAGAGAUAAGUGCUGAAAGCAUCUAAGCACGAAACUUGCCCCGAGAUGAGUUCUCCCUGACCCUUUAAGGGUCCUGAAGGAACGUUGAAGACGACGACGUUGAUAGGCCGGGUGUGUAAGCGCAGCGAUGCGUUGAGCUAACCGGUACUAAUGAACCGUGAGGCUUAACCUUACAACGCCGAAGGUGUUU